rnacentral:rRNA from 1 species
AGUAACGGCGAGUGAAGCGGCAACAGCUCAAAUUUGAAAUCUGGCUCUCUCAGGGUCCGAGUUGUAAUUUGUAGAAGAUGCUUCGGGUGUGGUACCGGUCUAAGUUCCUUGGAACAGGACGUCAUAGAGGGUGAGAAUCCCGUACGUGGCUGGCCACCUUCGCCCGUGUGAAGCUCUUUCGACGAGUCGAGUUGUUUGGGA